GACAGGGUGCCCCUACCUCCAAGGCAGUGCCUGGCUCCGGUCUGACCCCUCUCCCUGCUGCAGGAAGGUGAUGGAGCUGCUGCACACCUUCUCUGAGAGCAAGAGGCUGACCACAGACAAGGCCAACAUCAAGGACCUGUCCCAGAUGCUGAAGAAGAUGCCCGAGUACCAGAAAGAGCUGAACAAGUACUCCACGCACCUGAACCUGGCCGAGCAGUGCAUGUGGCACUUCAAAGGAUCGGUGGAGAAG